UACGUAGGGUGCGAGCGUUAAUCGGAAUUACUGGGCGUAAAGGGUGCGCAGGCGGUUCUGAAAGUCAGAUGUGAAAUCCCUGGGCUUAACCUAGGAAUUGCGUUUGAAACUACAGGACUAGAGUGUGACAGAGGGGGGUGGAAUUCCAUGUGUAGCAGUGAAAUGCGUAGAGAUAUGGAAGAACAUCGAUGGCGAAGGCAACCCCCUGGGUUAACACUGACGCUCAGGCACGAAAGCGUGGGGAGCAAACAGG
rnacentral:rRNA from 1 species